GAUGAACGCUGGCGGCGUGCCUAAUACAUGCAAGUCGAGCGAACGGACGAGAAGCUUGCUUCUCUGAUGUUAGCGGCGGACGGGUGAGUAACACGUGGAUAACCUACCUAUAAGACUGGGAUAACUUCGGGAAACCGGAGCUAAUACCGGAUAAUAUUUUGAACCGCAUGGUUCAAAAGUAAAAGACGGUCUUGCUGUCACUUAUAGAUGGAUCCGCGCUGCAUUAGCUAGUUGGUAAGGUAACGGCUUACCAAGGCAACGAUGCAUAGCCGACCUGAGAGGGUGAUCGGCCACACUGGGACUGAGACACGGUCCAGACUCCUACGGGAGGCAGCAGUAGGGAAUCUUCCGCAAUGGGCGAAAGCCUGACGGAGCAACGCCGCGUGAGUGAUGAAGGUCUUCGGAUCGUAAAACUCUGUUAUUAGGGAAGAACAUAUGUGUAAGUAACUGUGCACAUCUUGACGGUACCUAAUCAGAAAGCCACGGCUAACUACGUG
rnacentral:rRNA from 1 species